rnacentral:rRNA from 1 species
AAUACGUUUUUUCUGUCGCAUGGCAGAGAGAAGAAAGGGAGGCUCUUCGGAGCUUUCGCUGGAGGAGGGGCUUGCGUCUGAUUAGCUAGUUGGAGGGGUAACGGCCCACCAAGGCGACGAUCAGUAGCCGGUCUGAGAGGAUGAACGGCCACAUUGGGACUGAGACACGGCCCAGACUCCUACGGGAGGCAGCAGUGGGGAAUCUUCCGCAAUGGACGAAAGUCUGACGGAGCAACGCCGCGUGAACGAUGACGGCCUUCGGGUUGUAAAGUUCUGUUAUACGGGACGAAUGGUACGACGGUCAAUACCCGUCGUAAGUGACGGUACCGUAAGAGAAAGCCACGGCUAACUACGUGCCAGCAGCCGCGGUAAUACGUAGGUGGCAAGCGUUGUCCGGAAUUAUUGGGCGUAAAGGGCGCGCAGGCGGCGUCGUAAGUCGGUCUUAAAAGUGCGGGGCUUAACCCCGUGAGGGGACCGAAACUGCGAUGCUAGAGUAUCGGAGAGGAAAGCGGAAUUCCU